rnacentral:rRNA from 1 species
UACGUAGGGUGCGAGCGUUAAUCGGAAUUACUGGGCGUAAAGCGUGCGCAGGCGGUUUUGUAAGCCAGAUGUGAAAUCCCCGGGCUUAACCUGGGAAUGGCAUUUGGGACUGCAAGGCUGGAGUGUGGCAGAGGAGACGUGGAAUUCCUGGUGUAGCAGUGAAAUGCGUAGAUAUCGAGAGGAACACCUGCGGCGAAGGCGGGUUGCUGGGCGUGA